rnacentral:rRNA from 1 species
GGCGGCAGGCUUAACACAUGCAAGUCGAACGAUGAUUCUCUAGCUUGCUAGAGAUGAUUAGUGGCGGACGGGUGAGUAACAUUUAGGAAUCUGCCUAGUAGUGGGGGAUAGCUCGGGGAAACUCGAAUUAAUACCGCAUACGACCUACGGGUGAAAGGGGGCGCAAGCUCUUGCUAUUAGAUGAGCCUAAAUCAGAUUAGCUAGUUGGUGGGGUAAAGGCCCACCAAGGCGACGAUCUGUAACUGGUCUGAGAGGAUGAUCAGUCACACCGGAACUGAGACACGGUCCGGACUCCUACGGGAGGCAGCAGUGGGGAAUAUUGGACAAUGGGGGCAACCCUGAUCCAGCCAUGCCGCGUGUGUGAAGAAGGCCUUUUGGUUGUAAAGCACUUUAAGCAGGGAGGAGAGGCUAAUGGUUAAUACCCAUUAGAUUAGACGUUACCUGCAGAAUAAGCACCGGCUAACUCUGUGCCAGCAGCCG